GACGAACGCUGGCGGCGUGCUUAACACAUGCAAGUCGAACGGAAAGGCCCUGCUUUUGUGGGGUGCUCGAGUGGCGAACGGGUGAGUAACACGUGAGUAGCCUGCCCUUGACUUUGGGAUAACUUCAGGAAACUGGGGCUAAUACCGGAUAGGAGCUCCUGCUGCAUGGUGGGGGUUGGAAAGUUUCGGCGGUUGGGGAUGGACUCGCGGCUUAUCAGCUUGUUGGUGGGGUAGUGGCUUACCAAGGCUUUGACGGGUAGCCGGCCUGAGAGGGUGACCGGCCACAUUGGGACUGAGAUACGGCCCAGACUCCUACGGGAGGCAGCAGGGGGGAAUAUUGCACAAUGGGCGGAAGCCUGAUGCAGCAACGCCGCGUGCGGGAUGACGGCCUUCGGGUUGUAAACCGCUUUCGCAUGUGACGAAGCGUGAGUGACGGUAAUGGGUAAAGAAGCACCGGCUAACUACGUG
rnacentral:rRNA from 1 species